rnacentral:rRNA from 1 species
CUACGGGUGGCAGCAGUGAGGAGUUUUGCGCAAUGGGGGAAACCCUGACGCAGCAACGCCGCGUGAGCGAAGAAGGCCCUCGGGUCGUAAAGCUCUGUCAAGUGGGAAAAAAAUUUUUUGAUCAAUAGUCAAAAGACUUGAUGGUACCACUGGAGGAAGCACCGGCUAACUCCGUGCCAGCAGCCGCGGUAAUACGGAGGGUGCGAGCGUUGUUCGGAUUUACUGGGCGUAAAGAGCGUGUAGGCGGUUUAGCAAGUCAGAUGUGAAAGCCCUGGGCUCAACCCGGGAAGUGCAUUUGAAACUGCUUCACUAGAGUAUGGGAGAGGAGAUUGGAAUUCCUGGUGUAGAGGUGAAAUUCGUAGAUAUCAGGAGGAACACCCGUGGCGAAGGCGAUUCUCUGGACCAAUACUGACGCUGAGACGCGAAAGCGUGGGGAGCAAACAGGAUUAGAUACCCCUGUAGUC